AAAAUUACCCCAUUCCAUGUUGAUUACCUUCAAAGACCAAGAAAAAAUUAUAUUUAAAGUUACAAAUGUGCAAUGCAUGCUUAGUUUGAUAACAAACAUAACAUUUCCAAAAUAAAAGGAAAACAUUUUUUCAAAAAUGAAUUACGCAUGAAUUAAGCUAGGAAGGUUGUUAUGAAAUUUCACAAGCAUCUACCAUCUCUCCCAAUUUUGGCAAUAGACCAUGCUAUUUCAGAAUAAAAAAGAAAGUUUGGGAGGAUACUGACCGAAUCAAUGACAAAAACUUUCAAUUUCAAUGUUGAUCUAAGUACAGAGACGAUCAAAGAGAUUCCAGUUCAUUGACGUACUAUUAAAUACAGUUGUUUACUUGGUAAAAUAACUCUGAAACUAGGAAAAUCUCAGCUAAUCUCAAUUUAAAAGAAAGUCCAUAUUGGAUGACUCCUGAUGUACUCCCCUCUUUAAAAUUAUACUUGCAGAAACUUUUCUUGUCUCACAAUAAAAAGAAAACUUGAACUCAAGAAUAUACGAUUUCGAGGGGUUCAUUCUCCUACUUCAAGUAUGUCAUCUUGAUGGUUUUUCUCCAAUCCAUUUGUUGCUUAUACUUGAUUGAUUAUUGCUUCAUGUUAAAAUUUGAGAAGAAAAAUAUUUUUUUGGGAAUAAUGACCUCAAUACAAACUAAACCAGUAAUGACAAGCCUCAAGGCCAUUCAAAAUUUUGGGCUUAAAUCUGCAAAUGGUGGCAGAGUCACUUGCAUGGAUACAUACAAAGUGAACAAAUAAGUACUGGAUAUGUGCUAAUUUGUGUUGCUUAUCCAUAGUCUGAUGUUACCAUUGAGACUCGCAAAGAGCAAGAACUCACUGGCUAAUUAAAUUUGGCUCAUGAUCAAAAGCAGAUGUUGGAAAAAUAAUUUUGUUUUCCACAAAGUACUAACUAGCUAGGUGUUUGUUUCUUUGAACUCAGGUUAUUUAUUUAAAGAAAAAAUGAGUUUGGUUCCACUGUCAAGCUUGAUUGAUAUAGAAGUUAAGCUUCAGCUAACUGAAGCCAACACACACUAUCAAAUACAACAAAUGGAAGCCACCAGAUCAAAACUUCUUUAAACUCAACACUGAUGACACUGCUAUCGAUCAGUACCAUCUAUUUUACAACGUUGACAUGCAAAAACAAUGCAGUAAGAUAUAUUUGAAGGUAUAAAGCUCAAUUUUUUUCACUUUUUGACAAAUUUCAUGCUCAUUUUAGCUUAUUUUGGAGAUAAAUUUUAAGAUGAGAGAAGAUCUAAUGACUUGCUGCAAUAUGCAUUGCUAAUAGAACAGUGUCAUGAAUUACACUGUAAUUGCACACACACCACGCUCCUUAGACUCUACUUGUGAAAUUAUACCGAAUUUAUUGUUGUAUUAUACAUAUCCCGGCGAUUUAUUUGGGCAAAAGACUGUUUAUAUAGAAGAAAUGAUUCAUCAAAAUAAUCAGUCACCAUUGAUAUCGAUAAAUCUAUGAUUGCCAAAUGCUCGGGAGUUCCUCUAUUCAAUCUUUUUCCUUCUUGUUGCUGGAUAUCUCUUUCGUACACAUCUUUUCUUUGUUUCCCGGGCCUCUAGUGAGUUACAGAAAGAGUUCGAAAGGGUCAAAUUUUUGAUGAUUCCAUCAUCUAUGAUUGAGUUGCGAAAACUUCUGGAUAGGUAUCCUACAUCUGAACCGAAUUCUUUUUGGUUAAAGAUUAAUCUCCAAGCUGUAAGAUAAGAAAUAAAUCUCCCCUUAAGAGCAAGGGAACCAUCCUCCCACUCUAUAACCAGCUCACAAGGAAACUUAAAGAUAACUUUACGGGUUCGACAAUCUAUGUACGCAUAACAAGAGUAACUAAUCCAUUCCUAGAAUAACAUCAAAAUCCACCAUAUCCAAUUCAAACAUAUCCACCAAAGUCUGGCUACUACCAACAGAUACCACACCCCCUAUAGACCCUUUUAGCAAUCACAGAGUCACCUACCAGGGUAGAAACUAAAAAAGGAUCUAAAAUAACCUCGAGAUCAAAACCAAAAUACUCAGCCACAAAUGGGGUCACAUAAGAGAGAGUGGACCUCUAAUCUAGCAAACAAUACACGUCCCAAGAACAGGGUUGUAAUGUACUAAUAACGACAUCUGGUGAUGCCUCGGAUUCUUGCCAACUAGCAAGAGCAUAUUACCUAUUCUGACUUGCAUCGGCACUAGAAGAAAAAACAGAUGUAGAAGUAACACCCGUAGGUGCGAGAGCAGAAGAUGAAGCUAUUGGAGCCUUACUCACCCUCGAAACACUCUUACCAACCAGAUAGUUUCUAAGUAUAUGGCAUGGAUUUCCAUAUUUGAAACACCUAUCCCCCCCCCCCCCAAUCAUAGAAACCCCUAUGUAGCCUACCACGAAACAGGUAAAGAGGGCAUCAUGAGGCUGACUGAGCCCCACUUUCUUGAGAUUGGGCACUUUGUGCCCAAAAGUUAUUGCCACCUUGCUGACACCUAUCACCCGACUAUUUCGAGUAAGGACCACUAGCUGAAAAGAAAGAACCAAAACUCUCCCACUUCUUCUUUAGCCACUUAUCGUCGUCUCAACCACCUUCCUGUUAAUCACCACCCUGUUCAAAUAACUGAACCUCUUACCCUGCCUUUCCCCUAACUUAGCCUGUUUGCUCUUUUCUUCCUCUAGCUAUUGCAUAUAACAACCAACCUAAAGAUAUCCAUAUCUUUGAUCAGCAAUGCAAUCUUUGGAUUUUCUAGGAUUAAAUCUCAAGAUAGACCAGAAGUGAACUUUCUCAUCUUUGCCCUCAUAUUGGAUACCAAUUUCGGAGCAUACCUAGAUAGUUGAUGAAAUUUCAAGGCAUAUUCUUUGACCGAUAUUUUCCCUUGGCUCAGAUAAAAAAAAUCCUCCAACUUUGCUUCCCUCAACUCCUGAGGAAAAAAGCAAUCCAGAAAAGCAUUAGAAAAAGUCUCCCAUAAAGUUGACUCCUCAAUAUCACCUAUCACCCUAUCCAACUCCUUGUACCAUUGGUAUGCCAUAUUCCUAAGCUGGUAGGCAGUACUACCCCUUCCACAUUCGUGGCUUGUAUCACCCUGAAGAUUUUCUCUAUUUCAUCCAAGAAACCUUGAGGAUCCUCCUCUACCUUCACACCAGAAAAAGUAAGAGGAUUCAUCUUCAUAAAAAGGCCAAUCCUUGUGGCCUCAGCAGAUGAAAGAUGCAUCCCACUCAGUCUGAACAGUAACCAACUGAACAAUAACAUGAAUUUCUUAAAGAAAUUUCAUAUUCAUUACCUCACCCUGAGGAAGACUAGUAGCAACUGGUGGUACUCCAGAACAAUUAGGGACUAGACCUCUAGAUCGAGUAUGGAUCCAUUGAUUAAACCGUGUCCCUUUAAAAUUAUCCCUAGAUGGAAAAAAAGAGUUACCUUAAAUCUCAGAUCAUUGAGGCAUACUGUAAAAUAUGAGCAAACCAAGAUUAGAGAAGAUUCCAAUACUUAGACUUCGAGAUUGACAAUAGAAUACCAAGAAAGUGAGACAUUUCUAAAUGCCUUGUAGCCUCUCUUUUAUGAGUGUGUCACACUACACAUUAUUAAAAGAGACUAUACUCAACACGAAUUUGUGGACUCCCAAUUGACCAUGAACCUAAGCCUUUGAUACCAACUUGACACGACCCAAACUAGGGCCUUGUCGUAAUGGCAAUCCCAAGUCCAACCAGGACUGAGGACCACCCCCGCUACCCAACUUAACCUCCAAAUACACAUACCCUAAGGCGGAUGAACUAGAACAUAUAACAAGAUAGAGUUUAUUACCAUUCCAAACUCUGGAAUAGGUCUAUAACCAUGACGAACCCAAACAAGUCCAACCAUCCAUUACCAACCAACAACUAUAACCAACCCAAUAUAAAAACUAAGUUCCUGUCCAUAACUUAACAUAAAAGGAUGGAACAAUCAUAAAUUUAAUCCAAUAGUAUUAGCCCUAAUACCAAUGCCAAUACUAAGGCUGACAUCAAUACCGACACCACUCAUUUCAACCCAUAGUAGUUCCACAAAGCCUCUACCCGCUACCCAACUUAACCUCCAAAUACACAUACCCUAAGGCGGAUGAACUAGAACAUAUAACAAGAUAGAGUUUAUUACCAUUCCAAACUCUGGAAUAGGUCUAUAACCAUGACGAACCCAAACAAGUCCAACCAUCCAUUACCAACCAACAACUAUAACCAACCCAAUAUAAAAACUAAGUUCCUGUCCAUAACUUAACAUAAAAGGAUGGAACAAUCAUAAAUUUAAUCCAAUAGUAUUAGCCCUAAUACCAAUGCCAAUACUAAGGCUGACAUCAAUACCGACACCACUCAUUUCAACCCAUAGUAGUUCCACAAAGCCUCUAACCAAAAGAAAAAUAAUAUCCAUUUGGGAUAUGCCCCAACCAUAGCUAUAACCACUAUCCAUAAAAUAACUAAAUUAUGUAAAGUCAUCCAUGAUAUGAAAUAAUGCCUUCUAAAAUAUGGAAGCUCACCACUUUAAUCUAAUAUCUAAUCAUGAAUUCGAUCACUAAAAAGGAGGAGUAAAAUAGUCGAUUCCUGCAUUACAUGGGGAUUAGCCACCCGAAAAAGGGGUAGCAGGUGAAUGCACAUGAAAUCAAGAAGGAUAAAAUAAUGCUAUCCAGUAAAAACAAGUAAACCAACCCUAUGCAUACAAACCAUACAUAUAUAAAUAUAUCCAUGUCGGGAAAGGGAGCCAGGUUUAGCAUGCCUUUAAAACCAUUAACCUGGGUACAUGUAUCUUAACCUUUCUAGAACUACCCAUGGGCUAUAUAGGUCCAGUAUAACCCCUGAAUGCACCUUGAUGCAUGUAGCUGCACGAACAAGAAAUACCAUAAGGGUAGGGAAUUCCCAAUUACCCUUUGCUCUCCAUGAUACAUAUGUACUGUGUACUUAGAGGAUUCCUAUGUGCCUCCUAGUAUCAUAUAUGGUCUCCAUGACCAACCCCUCAUGUUGUCAAAUAUGAUUUCCCAGUUUCCAUCCAUUGGACUCGCACCUUCAUAGUUAGCUAUCACGCCCUGCUAUUAUUUCCAAAUUAAAACCAUUUUCACCCAACCAAACUAUUACACCAUUAUUAUUAACCAAGGCUAUGAGUAGGGGUAUCAUCAUACCGACUGUAGCUUGCAAGCAAUUUUCUUCGCCAAUAUUUUUUUGUAAAGUGAUUCCCAUGUUCCCAUAAAUUACAUUAUCAAUUUAAAUUGGGGGAAUCCCGUGUACCCCAUAAGUGUUCCAUUAUUUUGUUUGCUUGGGGGAAUCCCAUAUACCCCAUAAGGUGUUCAUUUCCAUGUCUACUGGGGGGGUUCCCUUGUAUCCCUCAAGGAAGUUUAAUUAACCAUAACCAUGACCACUAAACCUUACCAUUUUACCUAUCCAAACUAUUUAAACCAUUUAUGCCAUUUUGGGUUCCAUUACCAAACCAUAACAUACAAUAGUUCCAUUGAAAGUCCAAUAAUAUAGUAAAAGCAUUAUCAAAGGCAUUUUAUCAAACAUGUUGGGGGCAUAGUGUUUCUAAAACCAAUUCCAAUUACCAAUUAACCAUUCCCAUACAACUGAUUAUCCAAACCACCAUUAAAGCAUAUAAAAAUAUAAUUAAAACAUGGGAAAACCAUAACUAAACAUUAAAUACUAGAACCCCAACAUAUAUUUGAAAACCCCAAAACUAUACAAUAAUCAUGCUAUGAAAGCAUUAUAUAAAACAUGCAUUUAGUUGGAACUAGCAACAAGGGAGGAGUAUAUACCUUCGAUUACGAAGAUGACAUAGAGAAAUCACUUAUAAAAGCCCCCGAUUAAUCCUCAUGAUGAAACGGUAGCCUUCCUUUAGCAAAGACCCUUAGAGAGAAUUUGAGAGAGUUUCUAAGUGUUUUAGAUUAGAAUAAUCGGGUAAAUAAUGUCCCAAAAGAGUUAUAGUUGUGGGCCUUAAGUGGUUAAGUGGGGAAAUGUCCAGACUACCCCAACUUAACCCGCUUAAAAUUUUCGUUAGAUGGUACGACUACCCCAUACUACUCGUACCCUUCGAUACGAGUGGUAUCCACCACUUGUACCCUAGGCCUCCCUAUUAGACCUAACACUGUCCACCAUAUGAAUUGCCCAAACCAUGUCAUACCCAAACCAUAUGAUUAGUACCCCUAAAUCGUACCCCUUACAGAAUAAAAUCAACAGAAGUUUGAGAAUUGUCUACCAUACGAGUCAAUGGUAUAAGUUUUACCCUAACUUACGACUCAUGGCGAUCCAUUCAUAUUCAGAUCAAAGUUAAGUUACUAAGUCUCUGAUUAAGUGAAGGAAAAACCCAAACCAUACGUGUAACACCCCAAUUUUUUGAAACCAGAAUGACACACAGUGCUCAUGAUCCCAAAGGACCACAAGUUAACCCUCUGCUAGUACCUAUAACUGAGCAUUGAAUAAUAUACUAAAAUAAAUGCGGAAAACUGGCAAAAACUUACCAUAAGAUUCAAAACUUCUAAAAUACUCAAAACUGAAAACUGAAUACUGAUACAUUUGUUUGAAAAGCCUCUAAACUAUCUGAACUAUGGAUUUGAUGGGACAUGUCCCUAACUAACUCCAUCUGCUAAAAAUAAAUUGAAUGUAAUACCAUAAUAAAAUAUGAAUCAUUCUCGAAUGAAGAGGACUCAUUGCUACGUCAUGACUGAGUCAGGACUGCUAUGGGUGUCCUGGGUCCCGUACGUUUGAACCUAUGGUGUAAGACACCAUAGCGUAGGAAAGUAUGCGUUAGUAAUUUGAAUGUACUAAUAUGCCAGAUGAGUUAAGGUUGAAUACAAGGGCUUAUGCAUGAACAUUGCUUAACUGAAUAACAUGAGAAUACUGAAGGGGGAUAUAUGCAUGAACGUAUAAACCAAAACUGGAAUUGUAGUAACACUGAAUACGAACUCUGAGUACUGGUUUUUAAAUAAUAACUUACUGAGUUUACUAAUACUGAUAUCUGUAUUUACUAACACUGAGAGUCUGAAUAACUGAGUUUACUGAUAACUGAACUCUAAGCUUACUAAUAUUGGCUGAUUUAAAUUGAGAUCAAACCUAUCUAGCGGAUAAUCUUUAAAUCUAGUAAUAAUUAUAAGGAAGGAUUGAAUCGGAGUUUGAGAUCAGGCCUAUCUAGCGGGCGAUCUCUGAAUCGAUUAAUACUGAUACUGGUUAACUUUAUGUGAGACCAAGCCUUUCUAACGGGUGGUCUAUAAAUCUAUGGAACCAUCUUAGAUUCUCACUGAGCUGAAUGACCAUAUCUAACAGUCCUGAUUUUCGAGUGCUACUGUGAUGACUGAGACUGAACUGUAACUGUGGAAGUUCUCACUUAACCAACAUGCCCCAAUCUGAACUAAUGGGGUACAAUCUGUAACCCCAACUGGAAGGGUGUUAGUACCAUGCCACGUCUAUAGAUACUACUAUGGUCUAGCCUCUUUAACGGGUGACCCUGAACAGAAAGUCAAGCCUAAAGCAAUGGGUAACUCCUAGAAGGUAGUCAAGCCUUAAUCUAGUGAGUGGCUCCUGAUCAGGAAGUCAGGCUUAAGGAAAUGGGUGACUCCUAGAAGGUAGUCAAGCCUUAAUCUAGAGGGUGACUCCUAAUCCCACGUUGGCUACGCAUUUCUGAAGUACAGAGAUUGCUGCUAACGACUCUACCUCUCUAAUGGGAAAACCAUCAUCCUUGUACUCGCUCGAUGCUAGUUCCUACUCCUAACUGAAAGACUUUGAACUGAUUCUUAAUUGAACUUAGAUGGAGCUGAAUCUAUUAUUGACUAUAUUACUUGACUGAUCUGUCUGAGUUUGCUUAGUUCCAUUAUCUGAUGAAAUGCUGCUCGGAUUCUACAAUAUGACUGAAUGCUACUAAAUUCUUGUUAGCUUACUGAGUUUCACUGAAGCCUAAACUGAAUACUGAAUACUACCAAAUACUAUUGUACCAGUACUAAAUACUUAGUUUGAUUAGACUGAUACUAAGAAUGAAUUGCACUAAUACUAAGAUUACUGAAUUUUCUUACAUUCUGUAACUGUCUGAAUUCUACUAAUCAUGGCUUGAUUUAGAGUAUCUUGAACCUGACAAUGGCUGUAGAAUUGCAGCUAAUUUGUUGGGUAUAAAUAUCCCUAGGACUCGAUAACAUCAAAGUUAAACAUAACCAUUCUUGAAUAACCAUGACAAUGGACUUUCAUUUACCAUUACAAUCACUAAAGCAUUUCUUCAAGCACUUGGGAAUCUUAAAACGUGUAAAGAUAUAGGGAUGCAUACUAAUUUAUCAUAACUCAUUCAAUAAGGAAUGCACAAACAUAAGAAUGCAUGCAACAUAUCAUAAUUCACUUACUAAGACAUUUCAACAAACACUUGGCAUACAUGAAUUUAUACACAAUUUGGGGAUUUCUUGUCAUCAUGCUAUAAUGACCCUAUUUACUUCACAUGAUCAUUUUAUCAAACAUAUGGGAGCAUGCUUUGGUUAUACAACAAAUACUAUACCUAAGUAUCAUGAUUUCAUCAACCAACAUGCAACUUAAUGAGGGAUUAUCAUGAACAUCACAUAAUUAAUCACAUGCUAGAAUCAGUUGUUAAUACCUGUAGUCUAAAUCAUGAAUUAAAACUCAACAACACAUAAUCAUAAACUUCAAUACAUAUAAAUCAUGAAAUCUCAUAAAUAUAUAAACUUUGUAAUUUUGAAAAGGAUUCUUGGACUUCUUAGGUGGAAGGAAUCCAAGAAUAAACAUCUAACAUACCUUAGAGACUAUUUCUUGAAGGUUCUUGGAGAGAUUCUUGGUUUCUUGUAUUUUCUUGAAGAAGGGUUUUGAUCUUGUUCUUAGUAAUUGAUCUUUGAGAGAAACCCUAAUUUGAUGUUAUAGAUUAAUAAUGAAGUUAUGAGCCUUAAUCUGAUAUAAAUAGGUGUUAAAAAGGGUGGAAAAAAUCAAAAAACCCUUACUAAAAUGACUAAAAAUCACUGAACGAGAUAUGCGAUGGUGGGUGCAACAGUCCGUCGAGGGACCGAUGGUCCAUCGGUCCUGACCAUCGUACGUGGUGAGAACUGGGUUCACUGCCUCAUCGGCGAUGGUUUAUCGCUGGCCCAACGGUCCGUCGACCUUACCAUCACGCUUAACCAAAAUGAGAUCUCACUGUCUCCUCUGCGAUGGUUUGGGCGAUGGUCCAUCGCUUACUCAAUGACCCGUCGACCCCUUUUCAUCACACCUGGGCGGUUCUGACUGCCUUCUAUAAUUUGGCCAUAACUUUCUAUUCUGACAUAGAAUUUUGACUAAAUGGGUAUCUUUGGAAAGAGAAUUCAAUUUCCUAAAUGAUAAAAAGUUAAAAUUAUGAAAAUUCAAUAUGGUUUAAGCACUACUCACUUUAGAAGUCAUCUCUUAAUCUUAUAGAGAUAGAAAUAAGCUUUAAGGAAGUUCGGGGUUUUACAAUAUCUCCCCCUUGGGAACAUGUAUCAUCAAAUGUCACUUGUUAGGCUAAGAGUACUGAUCGACUGAACUUACUUAAGGGACGUGAACAUUUGAAACCUGACUAUGUGACAUAAAACUACUGAUAUUUUGAGUUCUUAUACUGGACAUGCAUAUCUGAUGCAUGGACUACUCGACUAAAGCAAAUCAUAGGUUAAAUUCUCAUAAUGGACAUGCAUAUCUGAUGCAUGGAUGCAUGACUGAGUUUCUCUCAGUAAUGCAUGACUGUGUACACUGAAAAACUGAACUUUUUCUACUGAACAUACAUAUCUAAUGCAUGAAUAUAACUGAUUCUUGAAUGCAUGACUGAAUAUGCUAUGAUAACUGGUAUUAACUUCGUAAGGAAAGUCUAAACAUGCAACUAAAUAAGUUUAAGGACAUGAAAGCAUCAGAAUAUUAUGGGGUAUCUCCCCCUUGGGACUCUAUGUCCCUUUAAGAAUAUUUCGCUGAAAUAUUAAGGUGAAGCACAGGGCACCUACAAAUUGGGUCAUAAUUGAUCGUCUAAGAUCUGAAACUGAUGCAUAAUAUGUGAACUGAGCUAUACUCACAACUACUAGGAUACUCUAUCUUGGAAUAGUUACAUUUCGGAGAUUUCUGAUAGUAUGAUUAGAUAAAGAGAUAGGAAUACAAGCAUCUGACUACUAUACUGAAUUACUGGCUGAUCAAACUAACUCAUACUGAAAACUUAAGCUUAUGUGGGAGUAAAGGAUCUAACAAUGCAUAUCAUGAAGAUAAAAGACUCGUAACGUAC
rnacentral:lncRNA from 1 species